rnacentral:rRNA from 1 species
GAUGAACGCUGGCGGCGUACCUAAUACAUGCAAGUCGAGCGGACGGACGAGAAGCUUGCUUCUCUGAUGUUAGCGGCGGACGGGUGAGUAACACGUGGAUAACCUACCUAUAAGACUGGGAUAACUUCGGGAAACCGGAGCUAAUACCGGAUAAUAUUUUGAACCGCAUGGUUCAAAAGUGAAAGACGGUCUUGCUGUCACUUAUAGAUGGAUCCGCGCUGCAUUAGCUAGUUGGUAAGGUAACGGCUUACCAAGGCAACGAUGCAUAGCCGACCUGAGAGGGUGAUCGGCCACACUGGAACUGAGACACGGUCCAGACUCCUACGGGAGGCAGCAGUAGGGAAUCUUCCGCAAUGGGCGAAAGCCUGACGGAGCAACGCCGCGUGAGUGAUGAAGGUCUUCGGAUCGUAAAACUCUGUUAUUAGGGAAGAACAUAUGUGUAAGUAACUGUGCACAUCUUGACGGUACCUAAUCAGAAAGCCACGGCUAACUACGUG